GUUUCAUCUAGUGAAAGAAAAUGGAAAAGGAAGGAAAAAAAAGAAAGCAAGACCCAUUGAGCUGUUGAAUAGGCCAAAAAAUGAAGUGUAUUACAAAGCACUUUCAUUGUCUUCAAAGGACAACCUUUGUCCUCUGCCGGUUCUGUUAUUGACCAGCUGCUUAGUUAACUGUGGUAUCCAUCUGCCAGCCCCGAAGUCUUCGUUGGGAAAGAGGGAAGGUGCUGACCCUUCCCAGGAAGCGAUGGUGACAGGAGCUUCAAUUUCCUGAUCUGAAUGGUGGAGGCAGUGCCUUCUGGGUUUUGCUGGAUUAAUUGUGCAGGCAAAGUGAGUAAGUGCAGACAGGACCCUGGGGACCUGCAAGCUGAAUAUUCCACGCCUUUUUCUUUACUGCCUUAAGCAAGAGGAGAGAAUUAACGAAGAGUAAGAAUCCAUUUGCCCGCUGUAGCAUGUUCAGCGGGCAGCACCCCCAACAUGGACCUGGUGCCUGUAAACCGCUGCAGUGGACAGAACCGCAGAGAUCUGAGAAAAAUGAAGGGCUGCUGAGUGGGUCCAGCGCUUCCUUUAAGCACUCUGAAAGCAUCUGCGUGCAGAGUCGAAGCUGAAUUUUGCUAAAGGCAAAUCUGGUGUUUGUUCUGGGCUUGGUGCUCUAUCACAAGUAUGUUUAAGGAUCUUGUGUGUAAGUUGAACAUCCUGAACUUUAUAUGUGUGUGUGUGUGUGUGUGUGUGCACUCAGUCAUGUCCAACUCUUUGCCACCCCAUGGUCUGCAGCCCACCAGACUCCUCUGUCCAUGAGAUUCUCCAGGCAAGAAUACUGGAGUGGGUUGCCAUUCCCUACUCUAGGGGAUCUUCCCCACCCAGGGAUCAAACCUGUAUCUCCUGUGUCUCCUGCACUGAUGGACUUUACGGCCCUAAACACACACAGAGGCAACAAAAUCAGAAGCCUUUGAGGUCAGAACUGGUUUUAAACCCCAUCUCUGCCGCUUCCUGUGGGACUCCAGGGAAAUUGUUUGACCCAUUUUUUUCAUAUGUAAAAGUACUCCAGGAGGUGAAUUAUAUCAUGUGGAUAAAACAAGAUGAAUCAAACUGUCUGAUAUUCAACAAUGUGAAGC
ensembl:lncRNA